rnacentral:tRNA from 1 species
GAUGUAGCUCAAUAGUAGAGUACUUGCUUAGUGUGCAAGAGGACCUGGGUUCAAUCUCCAAUAUC